rnacentral:rRNA from 1 species
GACAGAGGGUGCAAACGUUGUUCGGAAUUACUGGGCGUAAAGCGCACGUAGCGGCUCCUCAAGUCGGAUGUGAAAGCCCUGGGCUCAACUCAGGAAGUGCAUCCGAAACUGUGGAGCUUGAAUGACCGGAGGGGCCCAGAGAAUUCCCGGUGUAGAGGUGAAAUUCGUAGAUAUCGGGAGGAAUACCAGUGGCGAAGGCGCUGGGCUGGACGGUCAUUGACGCUGAGGUGCGAAAGCGUGGGGAGCAAACAGG